UUGCCAGCUGAUGUGAUCCUGAGAGACGGAGAAGAACUUUGUGACUUCAGAAGUGAGCAAACACCGGUGUCAUAGAAGAACUGCAGCCACUGAGCCACUGGGCUACGUCUUACAAGCUAGAAGAGCAGCCCUGACCAAGUUCUCGUUACUGAAGAUAGUGGCCAAGAAGUGGAGAAGCAUGCCAGGCUUCCUGGCAAUUGAAUGGGAUGCUGGGGGAAUGCUGGCCCACUGAUGGAAACAGUGCACGGAUAUGAGCUCACAGCCUGUCUGAAAAUCCUUAAUAAAGAAAUAAGGCUCUUGUACUGCAGGCAGAGAGUUCAGCAAGGAACCGUGCCAAAAUAAUGAGCAAGGGACAGAGGGAAUUUCGGAGUCAAGGUAAAAGAUGAGAAAUAAAUUCUCCCAGCAGCGAUGUUGCUGCGGAUCUGCUGCCAUCUGCUUCACUCAGAGCCCUCCCUUCGGUUUUGCACGGGUGCAGCCGACAAGACUUUGGCUUCACAUAGUUCUCCUGACUACACCAUUGUACAUAAAACCACAUACUGAAUGCUACAGGCUUUGCUGGCACAAAGCGCUACCAACAGACCCAGCUGCUAAUGCUGGCUGGAAACAUGAGCCUAAGCAUUGCUUUUUGUUUGCAUGCCAGUUUAUUUGGGAUAGAGGAGUCCUGAGGAGAUUAAAAGUGCCCUCGAAACUGCCACUGGAAGUUGAGGAAGCCUGGAUUCAGGAAAAAAAAAAAAAAGAAACCAAACAGGCAAAACGUUAUCUGCUUAAAUUAAAUUAAAUAUUAACAUCCCGUGCUUUAGAGUUGCACCAUGAACGUAAUAUGUGCACUGUUAAUGAACCGCAAUUUAUUUACACCUCAAACAAAGAGUAUCCUCACUGCCCUAAAGUAGUUAAAUUGCCCUCUUCCUAGUGAAAUUUAUUGCCAUUUAAACAUGCCAAAAGGCCAUUCUGCCGGUCAUUACAAUAAUCUAUCAUUUCUGCAACUGCUGGUAUCCUGUUCUGUGGUCAAAUUCAAUCUGAGAAGGGUCAACAGAAUUUUUCCACCAAAUGCUUCCCUCCUGCCUGUCAUCAAUUUACUUUUGUCAACAAAAAGGGCAUUACUACCGAAUGAAAUAGAAGAUCCCCUUAAGACCUCUGGCAAACAGCAAGAGCUUCUCUGACGUAUCGCAUCUUUU